GACGAACGCUGGCGGCGUGCUUAACACAUGCAAGUCGAACGGAAAGGCCCUGCUUUUGUGGGGUGCUCGAGUGGCGAACGGGUGAGUAACACGUGAGUAACCUGCCCUUGACUUUCGGAUAACUUCAGGAAACUGGGACUAAUACCGGAUAGGAGCUCCUGCUGCAUGGUGGGGGUUGGAAAGUUUCGGCGGUGGGGUAUGUACUCGCGGCUUCUGAGCUGGUUGGGGGGGUUGUGGCUUACCAAGGCUUCGACGGGUAGCCGGCCUGGGCGGGUUACCGGCCACAUUGGGACUGAGAUACGGCCCAGAGUCCUACGGGAGGCAGAAGUGGGGAAUAUUGCACAAUGGGCGGAAGCCUGAUGCAGCAACGCCGCGUGCGGGAUGACGGCCUUCGGGUUGUAAACCGCUUUCGCCUGUGACGAAGCGUGAGUGACGGUAAUGGGUAAAGAAGCACCGGCUAACUACGUG
rnacentral:rRNA from 1 species